CGCUCGGCUGGCAUUUGGACUGUCAACAAAUAUUUAACUACUCAUUAGGCGCCCUCCAGCCAGAGUCAAGCCCGUAGCCAGCGCGGCAUUACGUAUACGCCGCGUAUUACCGGUACUAGCACCUGCCCCUCAUUAGAAUUCAGUUUGUGUCCCGGUGUCUCGUCUCGUCUCAAGUUAACUCCAGCUUCAAUGUUCCGCAACGUGUGCCGCAAACGCAAAAGCAACAGCAAAAGGAAAAGGAAACGCACACGGAAAAUAAGAAAAUUGUGUGUGCUGGGGCAAACUACUUGCUAUUCAGCAAUGGAUGCUGCGAUGGAAACGAAAGGAAGACCGUAAAAAAGUUUUUCAAAUGUGGACAAUGACUACGGUUACCUGUUGUCAGACUUUUCCAGCACGGACAGAGACAGAGGAAGAGUCGGACAAAGAGGAGGAAGAGGGAGGCACAGAUAUAUGUUCUCACUUAAUAUUUGUCGAGGCCAGCAAAAGGAAAAGUUUUGACAGGAAAACGACAAAACGAUGCCAAAUUAUUGGACAAUUAAUAAACACUGCAAAAGGAAUUCAACUAAUGUACGAGCAAUUACAACAAUCAAUCCAAUUAACGUAACACAAAGGGAGCGGAGCAGACAAUAGAAAACCACGAAAGCAAUCCAAUCCUCUCAGUCGGUCGGUCGGUCGGUCGAUGAUGAUGAAUGAUGCAUUUCCUUUUGAUUUUUCCUAUCCUUUGCUUUCACUUUGUUUUAUUUUUGUAAUGGCUGCAGAGCGAACGAAAAGGGAAGGAAUAAAAACUAUA